CAGCAGCACCCCCCUUCACCUUCUCCUCCCCUCUUCCUCCCAUCACUUUCUGUAGGUGUGUGUGUAUGUGUGUGUGUGUGUGUGUGUCUACAUGAGGGGCUGGGGUGAGAAGGAAGGAGUUAGGAGGUGGCGGUAGGAGUUACUCAGCAGAUUUUCACCCGUGUAAGAGAAAAAAAAAGAGGCCACUGCCUGUGAGAAGAAGCAGACACAAGAUUAAGGAAGACAGUCCAAUUCAAGAUGUGAGAUUAAUGCCUUGGGGAGAGUUUAACGUCACUUUUUGAGGUCUGCAGUGCCAUCAACAACCAAGUAGGAGGAUGAAAUCUCUGACAGGAGGAUUGACCAGGCCUAUCUCCAGAGCAGCAACUGCACGUUCAGAAUGAACAUCACCCCGCUAACUGGCCGCUGGAGGGGAACUUGAAAGAACAGGAGCACUGACGCACCUCUGAAGAUGGUUUAGCAUCGACCACUGACAGCUGACUUCAAAGACCCACACCGGGAAUUUGAUUUGACUGUACAUUUCUUCGCUGACACGGUAACUCUCACAGGUUUCUUCUUGAUGUUGAUAUAUAUGGGACUUGCAUUUUCAUGAGUGCAUGAUGUUAUUCCACAUGGCAGCUGUUGAUAUUAGCGCCUUUGAUUCCUGAGGAGUUCUGAAGAAAUGCUGCAGAGAAAGCCCCCCAAGGCACGAGUUG
ensembl:lncRNA